UACGGAGGAUGCGAGCGUUAUCCGGAUUUAUUGGGUUUAAAGGGUGCGUAGGCGGGCUUUUAUGUCAGCGGUAAAAAUUCGGGGCUCAACCCCGUCCGGCCGUUGAAACUGGGGGUCUUGAGUGGGCGAGAAGAAGGCGGAAUGCGUGGUGUAGCGGUGAAAUGCAUAGAUAUCACGCAGAACCCCGAUUGCGAAGGCAGCCUUCCGGCGCCCUACUGACGCUGAGGCACGAAAGUGCGGGGAUCGAACAGG
rnacentral:rRNA from 1 species